AUGUCGAGGAGAAAGGAGCCGUUAGUGUGUAUGUCCAGCCACGCCGCCGCGGCCAUCUCCGCUAUGAUCACCAGCCAGGUGUACCCGCAGCCGCCACGGGUCGCCACACACACCAGGCAGCGGAGCAGGAGCCAAGAGCUACGGCCUGUGGCGUCGCUCCCAAAAGGCAAAGUCAUCGGGGUGAGGCCCUUCGCUCUACUGAGCCGCAAAGCGCUGUCCCGUGGACAGACACGGGGUUGACCGGCAGUCUGUUAGUGCUCUUCGGAGAACCUUCUGUACGCAGCGCACGGUCCUUAGUUUCACACACACAGUACCGCACUCUAACGUUGGUCACUUGAUUGAACUUUGCCUCGGGGGACAUACACUCUUCCCUGGCAUGACAGGGGUCAUUACUUGCUGAAAACUCCUCUCGGCAUUUAUGGUCUGUCCCAUUGUGCUUUGACUGACACUGAGUUGCUAGACACACACUCACAC
rnacentral:lncRNA from 1 species